rnacentral:rRNA from 1 species
UACGUAGGGUGCAAGCGUUGUCCGGAAUCAUUGGGCGUAAAGAGCGUGUAGGCGGCUUGUUAAGUCUUGCGUGAAAUCUCGGGGCUCAACCCCGAGCGGUCGUGAGAAACUGGCAGGCUAGAGUGCGGGAGAGGAGAGUGGAAUUCCUGGUGUAGAGGUGAAAUUCGUAGAUAUUCGGCGGAACACCAGUGGCGAAGGCGACUCACUGGCCCGAUACUGACGCUGAGGCGCGAAAGCGUGGGGAGCAAACAGG